UACGAAGGGGGCUAGCGUUGCUCGGAAUGACUGGGCGUAAAGGGCGCGUAGGCGGUUUGGUUAGUUAGGCGUGAAAUUCCUGGGCUCAACCUGGGGGCUGCGCUUAAUACAGCCAGACUAGAGUGUGAAAGAGGGUCGUGGAAUUCCCAGUGUAGAGGUGAAAUUCGUAGAUAUUGGGAAGAACACCGGUGGCGAAGGCGGGUCUCUGGGCAGUAACUGACGCUGAGGAGCGAAAGCGUGGGGAGCGAACAGG
rnacentral:rRNA from 1 species